rnacentral:misc_RNA from 1 species
CGUAGUUUACUAUUAAACUGUGUUAACAUGUUAGGCUUUGUUAUGGAUUUACUAACUUAUGUCCAGAAUUGCCAAAGUCUUGUAACUCUAAUUUUGUUGUCAAUUUAUCAUUUAUUUAGUGACUUUCAAUUAGCAAUAUAGCGUGCUUUUAGUCUUACUUGGAAAUUGUGAAUUCUACACACACACACACACACACACACACA